UGUGGAGGGGGUGGGGUUAGAUGAGGAGAGAUGAACGUGUUGAUGGUGUGUGUGGAGAGGGGGCACUCAAGCAGUGGGAGUGAGGGGGUCAGGGUGUUCCUGGAACACACUUCUCUCCUCCCUCGUUCUGUCCUUCUUUUCCUCACUCCCAUCUUCACUGCAGCCUACUUUAAAAGGAGACUGUUUUCAUUUUUUCCUGCACUUUUCUGGUCAAAGCCAAUAUAAGAAACCAUUACCAGGAAGAGACAGGAGUGUCUCUCUCUCUCUCUCUCUCUCUCUCUCUCUCUCUCUCUCUCUCUCUCUCUCUCUCUCUGUAGGACACACUGUAGCAGUCUAGGGCACCAUGUGCAGUGAACAGAGACCAACAAUAACUACCUACAAUAACUACCUUAUUGUCAUUGUUGGAAAAAUAUGUGAAUGUCACCGAUCCAGAAAAUAGGCUAAACGCAAUGACAAACAGGUGUAGAUAAAGAGCAUCAGGUUGCUACACAUCAAUGUCACCAACUUGGCCUGCUGAAGGCUCUACAUGCAUGCAAUUAUAGAUAUCUGCCCUGGCUUGGUCUGCCUCAGAGUCCCACUCACAUUAACCAUCCUCAAACACUUUGUCUGCAUUUCCAUGUGGCUCUUUCCUGCAGGUAGAUUUUUACAAAUGGUUUGUUUCAUUAUGUAACAUGCAUUUUCUUAAACUAAUCUGUAAGCGUUUUGGUUUAUGGCAACCAUUACUGAGGAGGCUGUUUCAGAUUACAUGAUGUAGGUAGUCUCAAGCAACAUUAUGCUCUGCGCUGCUCUGACAUAGAUUCUGAAUGUAAGUUGUAGGUGAUGUAAAAGUUCUGGACAUCCUCCCUGGAUACCACUAGAGAUUGGAUGUCACAUUGCAAGACACCAUAAUGUGACACAUGAAGAAAUAUGCAAAUGAGACUUUACACCCUUAUACCUCAAAUGGAACCAUAUAAACCCCAAAAUAGUGUUGUUUGACUACAUAGGAGUUGAAUUAACUCUUGCGAUUGUAUUGAGCGUAAACGUUACUCUAAAUAAUUAACUCUAGAAUACUGAACAACACUGCAGAGAUUGAAAACAAUUAUUUUGAAUUAAUACUGUACAGAGUGAAACCCAAUGAAGCAGAGUUAAAUAUCAACACUAAAUUGAGCGUACACAACUCUGAAAAAAUAACUCUAUUGCCAGAGUACGUUUUACAUCAUUUUCUGGUCAAAUCCCAAAACCCUGAGUCUACUUAGGAAAUAGAGGCGUUGUUGAACUCUGCAGAAGACACGGUGUACUUGGACCUUCCAGUUCAGUGUGCACCCAGCUACUUGUACAAACUAAGCUGUGCUGUUUUAGCAUUGUGAACAACCACAGGCACGUGGUUUUGCCAACAGAUUUGGGGUCAAACACCAUCUCCUCUGUUUUCUUUACAUUGAGGAUAAGAUGGUGUUCAUCACACCACUUGACAAACCUUUGAAUUUCUGACCUGUACACGGUAGUAUCAGCAUCUUUAUACAUCACACCAAGGACGGCCGUAUCAUCAGAAAACUUCACAAUAUAGUUAUUAGGAUUACUGCUAGUGUAUUCAUGUGUGUACAUGAUGAAUAAGAUGGGUGAACUCCCACAUCCCUGCAGGCCCCUGUGCUAAUGUCUCUAGCCUCAGAGAGGGUUCUGUUAACACUAACCUUCUGAGUAUGGCUCGUCAGGAAUGAGUGCUACCACCUUAUGAUACAGGAGUUAACACUUGUCUGCUUUAAAACUGACUGAGUAGGACAUGUGGCUGUGUCGUGUUAAACGCUGAACUGAAAUAAAUAACAGGCCCCGGGGUUUUCCAGAUGCUUAACAAUGAGAUGCACUAUGGUGUUGAUUGCAUCAUCUUGUCUCACAACUUUUCUUAUAGGCAAAUUACUAAGGAUCUAACACAGGGUUCACAUCUGAAUGGAGCUCGCACACCAUGAUCUUUUUAUUCUUUUAUGCUUGAAGACUCAAAUGACAACUACAGGGUUGAUUUCCAACCUAGGAACACAAUAAUCAAUAACAAUGGAGCCACAAUGGAGUACAUCAAAUCGUAUUAGCUUUGGUCAGCUCAUCUGGUGUGUGCAAGGAUUUAUUUUGCAGGGUUCAUGUUGUUGAUUGUUCUCAUCGACUCCCACCAUUUUUUGGAGUUCUUUAUAAGGAACUAUUUGUUCCCACUGAUUCCGUGUGUUGUUUCCUUGUCUCUCUGAGCAUUUGAUUGAGCUCCUUUUGCACCCAUUUCAGUUGUUGUUUGUCCUUGUUUUUGAAUGGUUGCCUCUUGCUUCUUGGCUCUUGCAAUUGAUCCAUGUCCUUGACCUCAUUUGUGAUGUAGUGUGUGUUGUUUGGGUAUGCCUUUAUGUCUUCUGGCAUAUCAGAGUCAACACAGAAAUCUAUGUAGUCUGUGACAACCUGUGCUGACUUGUGCAUGUCUAACUCAUGAAAAAUGUCCCAAUCUGGACACAGAACAUCCCUUAAGUGAUUCUAUACUGUCCUGCUUCCAGACAUUCACAGAUUUCACAAGGGGUUUACUGCUCCUGAGCUGUAGGUAGGUGGGAAUGAGCUGGACAGUGUUGUGAUCAAGCGAGACAGGGAUGGUUUGGCUCUAGCUGUGUAAAGGAGAUUGAGGAUGUACUGAGAGCUCCAACUGAACAGUGAACCUAGCUGACAAGAAAAGGACAGCUAUGGAAGGAAAAAUACAUUUUCUAUUCAUAGAAAGGUGGAAAUUAAAAAAGGCCUGACUGAGACUGAAAAGUGAGUUGGUUAGGAUGAAAACAAGUCAGCAAGGGUGAUGUUCUCCCUCUGUGGAAAGGGUUCUACAUGGAUCCUAAAAGGGUUCUACCUGGAACCAAAAAGGGUUCUUCAAAGCGUUCUCCUAUCUGGACAGCCGAAGAACCUUUUUAGGUUCUACAGUACAUAGUGUAUGUUCACAUAAAUUGCAGCCAAGACUGGAAUUUUCAUUUCAUUUCCGUGGCCAUACUUCUUUUCAUAGAUAGAUUGCAUGUCUGCUCAUUUCAUUCUCAAGCCACCAACAUAAAAUUUGAUAGACAUCGUUUACCAACUGGGGUCAUUUUGACCCCAAGAAGAAACUAUUGGAAAAAGCAUCAAUCACAGCACAAUAUCAACUUAUGUUUUAUCAAAACAUCAUAAAACAUUUGAUACAUGUUAUCUGAAGUAAAAGAUGACCAGGAUAGACUGUUAUUUUAGCAAAAUUACUGUUAAUCAGCAUAUUCUGUCAGACAUAUAUAUGCAUUUUUCCUUUAUAAAAUUUGCAGUUUUUUCCAAAGUACAAUUCACAUUAGCACUAAAAAAGGAAAUUUACCGUAAUUUAAUUAUAGUUACAUUUAGUUUUCAGAAUUUCUAAGUAAAUAUCAAUUGUGUCAUAUUCAUGUGGUCAAAAUUAUCAGAUUUUCGAGAGGCAGUACAGCAACAUUUUAAAUACAUUUUAUUGACAAAAAGUAUUCAAUUAAUUUCAAAAAGUGAUUCUGAGAGACAAUGACCAAAACUAUUGCAAAAAGAAUGCCCACAUCUAAGUCACUACAAACCAAAGUAUAUAGCACCCAACAUAUACACGUCCAAGUUGCACAGAUAGAAUAUUGGAGGAAUUCUGGUAUUAAUAUCAUAUUUUCAGUAGAAUAAGUAUUUUUUGGAGAAUACACACCAAUACAACACUAUGUUUACAUUUAGAGGGUAGCUGGUUUUUGUAUUAUUAUUUUAUCAAGUAUUCAUAGCACUGACAUACUUUUAUCAGCUGUUUUGACAACUACUAAGCAUGUAUGUGGUCUUACCUAGUUAUAACCAUUUAUAACCAUAGGCCCUAAAAUAACUAAAUUUCGGAGAAUACACACCAAUACAGCUCUCUAUGUAGAUUCAGAGCCUAUCUGAGUUCUGUAUUUCAGUUCUAUCAAGUAUUGAUACCCUUACCAGACCUUGUAUACCUUUGGUUUUGUAUACAGUCAUAUGAUGCGUGGUAUAGAAAAGUUACAUCUUAGAGUACAUGGGGAGCUCUGCAGAUGAUCUGUCUAUCUGGUCGAAAUCACUGAUACAGGUCCCCCUCCACCCUCUGGUAGUGUGGUUAACAGGUCCCCCUCCACCCUCUGGUGGUGUGGUUAACAGGUCCCCCUCCACCCUCUGGUGGUGUGGUUAACAGGUCCCUCUCCACCCUCUGGUGGUGUGGUUAACAGGUCCCCCUCCACCCUCUGGUGGUGUGGUUACCAGGUCCCCCUCCACCCUCUGGUGGUGUGGUUACCAGGUCUCCCUCCACCCUCUGGUGGUGUGGUUAACAGGUCCCCCUCCACCCUCUGGUGGUGUGGUUACCAGGUCCCCCUCCACCCUCUGGUGGUGUGGUUAACAGGUCCCCCUCCACCCUCUGGUGGUGUGGUUAACAGGUCCCCCUCCACCCUCUGGUGGUGUGGUUAACAGGUCCCCCUCCACCCUCUGGUGGUGUGGUUAACAGGUCCACCUCCACCCUCUGGUGGGUAACUUGUUAUGUCUCCAGAGAAACCUGGAUUCAAAUAAAGGUCCUAUUUAUCCAAUUAAUAUAGGCAGAAGUAUAUGUUUUUGGCUGAGGUCAAAAUUAUCCCAAUUUACUUACAUUUUUAAAUAGUCCAUAUUCAUAGAGAAACACUAAACAAUUAUUUAGAUUUGUUAAGAACAAGUUGAUUGACAAAGUCAUAAAACAUGUUUAAAAUGUAGUGUUUGUCAUUCACCUUACGGGACUGUUCGUUUGUUGCUUAUUGUUUUUGUUCAGUGUUCAUUUUGCUUCAUUAAAUUAUGGACACUUACCACGUUGCGUUUUGGUCCUCCGAUCCUUCUUGCUUCUCCUCCUCAGAAAAGGAGGACGAGGUUCCUUACAAAAUGGCCCCAGCUGGUAGCUUCUCAGACGGAUCUGGAGAGAGUGGAGUGCAACUUGACCAAAAAAAAAGAACAUUAGAAAUUGUUGUCCGCAAAACAAACAGACUAAUUUACUCAUGAUACAUUUCAAUUUAGAUUGAAUAUGAAAUACUGUAUUGGACAGCCUGGAAACAUUGUUAUUUAUUUCAGAUUUAUAAAAAUGUAUAUCUGGGACAUAAAUCAACCAGAAAACAUAUCAGUAAUAACAUAUCCAACAACAAUUUCAUGGCAGGAAAUAAGAGUUUCCCUGCGAAACAGAAUUGAGCAAAGAGGACCUAAAAAUGCGUAUUAAACACAAUCCUUACAUUAUGCAUCUUGAGUACUUUCUGAGUACUUUCUGAAUUAUUUCUGAACUUUCUCAAUUUGGAUAGAAAUCUGGGUAAUUUCACCCACACUUCAGAGAAAAUAUAUGUUAGCCGACACAGUAAAAAAAAGCCAUUUAAAAGCCAGAAGGACAAGAAAUUGAGCUAAUGUGUGAACAUCAACAAUCUUUGCUCACAGUGAUGUGAAUGUAUAAAAACUUGAGUCGAAUUACUAAUUCAUGUGUGCCCUUGGAAGAUAACACUGUAUGUUGGUUCAGCUAUAUGCCCAAAUGUUGAGAAAACACACAAU